rnacentral:rRNA from 1 species
AUUGAACGCUGGCGGCAGGCCUAACACAUGCAAGUCGAGCGAGCGGCGGACGGGUGAGUAAUGUCUGGGAAACUGCCUGAUGGAGGGGGAUAACUACUGGAAACGGUAGCUAAUACCGCGUACCAUCAACUGUGCCCAGAUGGGAUUAGAGCGGAGGUGGGGUAACGGCUCACCUAGGCACCGAUCCCUAGCUGGUCUGAGAGGAUGACCAGCCACACUGGAACUGAGACACGGUCCAGACUCCUACGGGAGGCAGCAGUGGGGAAUAUUGCACAAUGGGCGCAAGCCUGAUGCAGCCAUGCCGCGUGUGUGAAGAAGGCCUUCGGGUUGUAAAGCACUUUCAGCGGGGAGGCGUUACCCGCAGAAGAAGCACCGGCUAACUCCGUGCCAGCAGCCGCGGUAAUAC